UCCGCUCCACAAGCAGCAAGAUCAAAAGUGAGUCUUUCCUUAUUGCUGCAUAGUGUCAAUUGGCCAAUCUCUUCUCCCAGGGAAAAAAAAAAGUAAAUCAAACGUUGGGGAAGCAUUUGGUGGGAGAAGUGCUUUUUGCCUCGUGAGGGUCCCAGGAUGUCUAGUUUAUGUUAAGAGGAGCCCUUUAGAACCCGAGACUGAAGGGUUAUUAUAUUGGUGCUAGAGCUAUGCAGCUGGAGCAUUGUCUUUCUCCCUCUAUCAUGCUCUCCAAGAAAUUUCUCAAUGUGAGCAGCAGUUACCCACAUGCAGGCGGAUCUGAGCUUGCCUUGCAUGAUCAUCCCAUUAUCUCGACCACUGACAACCUGGAGAGAAGUUCACCUCUGAAAAAAAUUUCCAGGGGGAUGACGAAUCAGUCAGAUACAGACAAUUUUCCUGACUCCAAGGACACACCAGGGGACGUCCAGAGAAAUAAACUCUCUCCCGUCUUGGACGGGGUCUCGGAGCUUCGUCACAGUUUCGAUGGAUCUGCUGCAGAUCGCUAUCUGCUCUCUCAGUCCAGCCAACCCCAGUCCGCUGCCGCUGCUCCUAGUACCAUGUUCCCUUACCCCAGCCAGCAUGGACCCGCUCACCCAGCCUUUUCCAUCGCCAGUCCAAGCCGCUACAUGGCUCACCAUCCUGUGAUCACCAAUGGAGCUUACAACAGCCUCCUGUCCAACUCUUCUCCACAAGGUUACCCAACGGCAGGCUACCCUUAUCCCCAGCAGUAUGGCCAUUCCUACCAAGGGACGCCUUUCUACCAGUUCUCCUCCACCCAGCCGGGGCUGGUGCCCGGCAAAGCUCAGGUCUACCUGUGCAACAGGCCACUCUGGCUGAAAUUUCACCGGCACCAGACAGAGAUGAUCAUCACCAAACAAGGAAGGCGCAUGUUCCCUUUCCUAAGUUUUAAUAUUUCUGGUCUCGAUCCCACGGCUCAUUACAAUAUUUUUGUGGAUGUAAUUCUGGCCGAUCCCAACCACUGGAGAUUUCAAGGAGGCAAAUGGGUUCCUUGCGGCAAGGCGGACACCAAUGUACAAGGAAACCGAGUGUACAUGCACCCCGAUUCCCCCAACACAGGAGCCCACUGGAUGCGUCAGGAAAUCUCUUUUGGGAAAUUAAAACUUACAAACAAUAAAGGAGCAUCAAACAACAACGGGCAGAUGGUGGUCUUGCAGUCCUUGCACAAGUACCAGCCCCGUUUGCAUGUGGUGGAGGUGAACGAAGACGGGACGGAGGAUACUAACCAGCCGGGCAGAGUGCAGACUUUCACCUUCCCGGAGACUCAGUUCAUAGCCGUCACCGCCUAUCAGAACACCGAUAUUACACAAUUGAAAAUAGAUCACAACCCUUUUGCAAAAGGCUUUCGAGACAAUUAUGAUACAUAUGACCCUCGGCUGAGACCAUAACUACAUGAACACCAAAUGCAGAGCAAUCAAGUGUUAGGGAAUAAGACCUAGAAUUUCACCCUGUUACCUCUAUUUGUCAUGAGAAGUCUGAUGUCAUGAGAAGAUUAAAGAUACACAGAUCAUCCAACCUAACUUUCAUCAGCUUGCUGCAUCAUUGGUAUUACAUAGGUUGUUGGGUUUCCUCUUACUACAAUCACACUGAUUGGCACAAAGCUACUGAGAUUAUACUGGGAAUGGACACUUGGACAGAUGGCUUCAAUUUACUGGAGAAGAGUGCUGCAGACAACAAUCUUGCAGAUAUCUAGUACUAAAUUCUUCUGGAAAAGAUUAUUGCAUAGUUUUCUCACUUUGCAAAAGUUAUGGAAGAUCAUGAGAAGACUGAGAACGGAUGUCAUGCUUUCAUCACUACUGAUCUGUAUACUAAAGGUCAAAUGGAUAAUUUCAUAUUUGUAACUACAUAUUGUUCAAUCUUCUAGACUAUAUGCCAACCAUUUUCCACAAAUUAUCUUCAGGAAACAUUAGUGCUGUAUGUUUAGGAUUUCAGGCCUGGGUUACAUAGGCUGUCAAUGGAUGACUACGUAAGAACUGUAGUAUCAAUUCCCAACUUUUGCUGAAAGAUGAAAAAGUAAAUUUUGCCAGAAUCUCCUGAUUAGUCAUCCUGACAAGAUUGGGGAAAGUCUUGUUCCUAUCCAUAGCAGCUGUGAAUUCUAAAACCUACCAUAGAAUUGAAGGACAAUCUUGCUCCUAGGACUGAAGCCCUGGGCAGGAUUAAAUGAUCAUCCUUUCUCAUAAGGAACUGUAUUUCUAGCUAAGAACUAUGUUCAAAAAUGAUAACUAUGCAAUGAGAGUUGUCUUGCAUCCAUAAACUGUUAAGGCCUGUUUUGGUUCACUAUGUCUUAGACAGGUAUUUUAAAGGGCUGGUGCAGUGACAGUAUACAGAACAGCUAAACUUAGGAGUCAUAUGUGUGUGAAUUUUCAGCUUAUUUAUUGUUAUAAAAUAUAAUUCUGGGCUCCACAAUAUGCUUUUCUGAUCUGCCUAGACUUUUAUAAUGCACUCAUCACUUGGGUGAAGUCCUGGCCCCCCUGAAAUCAAAUAGUUUUACCAUUGAUUUCCAGGGGGCCAGGAUUUCAGCCUUGGUCUUCUGAGAGCCUUUGUACACACUUAUCUGGAUGGUUGCUGGCCUUAUAGAAAAUGCAGGUGAACUUGGUCACUGGUAUAGACUUAAUAACUUGUAUGAGAAAUAUCUAUCUGGCUUUAAAAUGUUUUGCGCUUGUAGGUAAUGUUGCAUGCUGUGGAAAGUUCCCUCAAACACUGCUGUUCUCUAUCAGAGUUGGUCGCUUUUCAGGAUGAAUGUACUGCAUUUGUAUCUUCAGUUCUGCUAGUGUCGCUAUUACAGACAGAAGGCCCUGCUUAGUGCAACCUUGUGUUCUGAAAAGUGAACUGGAAAAAAUCUUUGCCGUUUUAACAUGGAAUUCAUAUGAUAAGACCAAAUAGGAAAGAAUUGUCAGAUUAUCAUCUAUAAAAGCACAAGAACAAACAAGUGGUGAGGGGCAGUUAUGAAGGUGAGAACAAGAAGGUUGAACUUGAUGUGGUGCAGGGACUCUAGUAGGGCAUGAUUGAGUUAGAGUGAUGGGCAAAGGAUCUUAGUGGCUGCAUUUUAUGAGGGGAGCAGAGAGGAGGCCAGAGAACUGGAGGCUACAUCAGGCAUGUCACUAUGAGGAGGUGCUUGGUGGGGAUCUCCUCCCCAUUCCAGUUGGUUCUCUGAUCUUUCUCACCCAGAACUCCUGAUUUAAAGCUCUUAUAAUCUUUAGGGAAACUCCUCCUCCAUUUUUAUAUAGCAGAAGUAUGGUUUAGAAGGGAGUCAGUCAUAUUUCUCAUUUUUCGAUUUACACCAAGGACCAAUAUUUUACCAGGGGAAGCCACAUUGCUAGAAUAUUUCUUGGGAAGCCAGUGUGCAGUAACAAAACUCUAUGGCUCAAGUUUAUCCAACAUUUUUCAAACAAGCCCUUAAACAGGAAUACCCAAGCAAAAAACACUUUUUUCUUGUCUUUAAGGAACUCAAAGUCCUUACAUCCUUAAUUUUUAGCUGGUUGUUGAUUUCAUUCACUGGGUCAAUGACAAUUUAUUUACCUUUCUGGUCUCAAUAAAUACAUCUUUGGUAAGACAGUCUCUGGAGACUGUAAUUCCAAUAUCUGUAAUUUGCCUGUAAUUUCCUUAUCCCUUUUUUUUCCUCAGUUGAAAACCAUCACUUUUGUCAAGAGAAACACUUAUGCAGGAAAUGCACGAAUUUAUUAUGGCAGUCUUAACGUGAAAUGUUUGCGUUUAGAUCUUACUACCAGCAGAAGCCACAGAAGAACAGCAUCCAUCUUUAAAGCUCUAAAUACCAGAUUAAAACAAAAACCUUCUGAUUAAAGUAGGUUUAGUCUUGUGUGCGCUGAUCCACAGCAACUUUUUACAUUCAUAACUGAGGCAGCAAACCUAGAGGGCUCAGCCCUGGCACAAAUUAAGCACUACUUGUGUGUUACCAAGUUCUUAUCAAAAGUGACACAGAUAAAUCUAUAAUUUGACUGGGCCAAAUGGUCCCCUUCCACAUGUAAAAUGGCAAAGGCUUCUGUGGGAGAGAACCUCAGAUUUUCCCAACCCUCCUCAAUUAUCUGGUGUGUAGGGGAGAUGAGCUAGAAUUUGACUCUUUCCCUGCAACAGAGAAAGGGGUGUGUGGGGCAGGCCCCCUCACAGAUCUUAUGGAUCUCCAGGGAUCUGUGGGAGAAUAGGAUCGUCCAGGUUGAGGCCUGGUGACUUCAGGGCACUGUUGGAGCUGUGCACCUGCAGAUGCCUCAGUAGUGGCAGUGCCUCCAGAGGGACUAUAUAGAAUUCAUAGGAAGAGGACAACUCCAUAAGUAGAUUUCAAGAGACACUGUGGUUCACUGAUACUUAAGAAGUUAGUCUUUUGGCAAUUAGGAGUAAAAAUAAUUGACCUUGGGCCAAAUAUUUAAAACACCAGUCCUUUGGUGGCUCACAUGCACAACUGGUAAUCCAAGAUAUGAAAGGAAGGCCUUAUAAAACUUUUGCUCCUAAAACACAACUCAGACACAACUGUUCAUAUUAAAACCUCCAUUCAUAAAUACUUUUUCUUCAGAUUGGCUUUUAUCUACUGUUUCCUUUGCUUGCUCAAUAAAGAGUUUAAGUAUUUUCUUUUAAUUCAGAAUAUUUUUUAAACAAAGGCAAUUGUUGAAAUGGUGUGAAGCAUUUAAUAGCAAAGAUUGCAUUUUCAGAUAGUGGAUACUGCUUGUGGCUACAGAGUACACCACACACAUACCUGUAUUUGUGCUUGCCACUACCUAUAGUAUCUGUGCAUGAAAAUCUAUUUUUGGAGUGAAUGUGUCAGUACAUAUACUUUUUUCAGUGGUCAUACGUGUGACUCUGCUCUUUCAAAAUCUGGCCCUGAGAGGAUAAAAGAAAUGUUAAAAACACUGUACUACAGCUUACCAGCACUGAAAACCACAGGAUGAAGGAAGCUAAGGCCACCUACAGACAGAGCCAGGAAUAGAACCCAUGUUUGCAGAAUUCUAGGCUGUUGCUUUAUGUACUAGGCCACAAAGACUGUUUUCUAGUAUAUAAUCAACUCUACAGGCAUGUACAAUUUUAUAUAAAUCCCAUCUCAAUUAACUGUUCUGCUUCAUCAUUGUAAGAAAAAAGAAUUUUCUUGCUUUUCAGCUAGCUUUUCCUCCAUAAAUAAAGUGUCUAUCACAGUGAUUUUUGGACAAGACAGGAAACAUGUAAGUCUGUGCAACCCCCCAGAAGAAUAAAGAUUUAGGCAAAACUUCCACUGACUCCAUGGGGCCAGGACUUCACUCCUAGUACUUGAUGAUCUUGUU